rnacentral:misc_RNA from 1 species
CUGCAUUGAGGGAUGAUAAGUAUCAUAUAUUGUCUCCUUAAAAAUUAAAAAAAAGAAAGUAAUAAUAAAAAAAAAAAACAACUCAGUUAAAACAAUGCACUUUUCCAUACAAGCAAUUAGAGUAAGAACUUAUACUUUACAUCAACUGCAGUGGCUAAUUGCUUUAACUAGAUCAGUAAAAUAAUCACAACCUGAACAAGAGCAUACGUAUAAAGAAAGCAGGAAUCUGACAAUGACAACAAUGUGCGAUAGGACUGGCAGGUGAUAAUCCUGAUUACUUUGAUAAAUAGGCUGAAAAUUCGCCACUCUCGACCUUUUUGUAGAACAUGAUUGACUAAAAUUACAUGAUGAAAUCUUGGCAAAAAUAUCAACCUAAUCUUGCUUCUCUUCUUAGUACCUGGUUCAACGAGUAAAAUGGAAAAGAAUCAUAACAAAAGUGAGAAAAAUAGGAAGGAUAGGUUAAUUCUUUACGCUAUAAAGAGCCAUGAACAGAAACCAAGUUAAACAAAAGCAUAAAUCUAGGAAACUGGCAGCAAUAAUCUAUAUAUCCUAUGUCAAACAUAAUGUCGGCAAGAACAAGCACAAAGUACUUCAAUAAGAAACAUAGAAGGAACAAGCCCAUUUAAGUUACAUGAGACUUUUCCAGACGGCAAGGAAUUUGUUGUCUGGACUGGAAUAUAAAACAUGGCAUGUCAGAAAUGAAAUUCUUGAAGUGGAUGAAAGGCUCAAGCAGAUAGAUAAAACAUAGCCGUAUGCAGGAGGCAAAGAAGAUGGAAAGAAAACACAUGUUUACCACCAAAAUUGCAUGGAUAAUCAUAACAGCUACAAGUUAUUGGAAUUAAUUAGAUACAAUUUGCUCAAAUAUUUCAUUGAAUAUAGAUUCAUUGAAGCAAAAGUGAAAUAUUAUGAAAGACUCAGAAAACUUAUACAACUUGCCAAGAAGAUGCUCAUUUAACAUUCAGAUUGGAAGGACACAGGGCAUAUAGACCCACAGACAUCUAGAACAGGCAAAACCACACAGCAACCUUAACAAGAAUGCCUGAUGAAUGCACAAAAGAACCAUUCUUGAUAAGUAAAUGUAGAUCCACUAACAUGCGCAAUUCUACCAAAUUCAAAAUAGACGCUUUAGCAGCAAUGAUGUGCACCUUUCAAUAUAUAGAUAUCAUAGCAUUUACCUCUUCAGCAAAUUUUAUCAAAAUGGUUGUCCGAGGUCGUUGCUGACCAUCCAUGGGUACAAAAUGAGCUGUUACUACCGCUGGAAAACCAGCGCCAUCCAAAACACCCCUCACUAUUCCAGCUACAAAUGCUCCACAAUUGAAUGUUCCCAUGUCUUUUGGAAUGGAAAUAAAUCUGUUCACAAGAAGCUCCUUCUCACUGAUCAUGUAUUCAUCUUCAUGUUCAGUGCCUUUCUCAAGGGAGUCAGCUACCUAAUGUAACAAUGAAGAGCUGGUUACGUACUUUAAUUGCAUAUUACGCUAGCUUAUAUCUAUAAAAAAUGGCCUUAGCUCUGCACCUUCAAAUCUCUCUCCAUAAAACUUGAGAAGCAUCAUUAUCAUUAGUAAUAUUCAACACCUUUCACUAUUUUCUGCUCAACAUUUUCAUUGCAUAUGUGAUUUGUCCUUAUUGUCUAUUGCUUCUAAAGUUUUGGCAACAUCCUACAGUGUGCAAAUGCCAGGGAAACAAAGGUUUACAAAAUGAUCUCUUAAAAUUAUUCCAUAUACAAGCAGAUCAAGAUGCAUGUAAACGUAAAGGCAAAUCCAUCUGUUGUAACUUUUACUUAGGCUUUGUGGCAAAUUGUAGUAGUGCUUGUAAUAGAACAGGGUUCUUAUUAGGAAGAAAAGAAAAGGUCAUAGGACAUGGAAAAAGUUCUUAUUAAGAAGAAAAAUAAAAGGUUUGCAUACGUAAGUGGAUAUAAGAGAAUUAAAUAAAAGGAUUUACUUACGUGAUACAACAUUCUAUUUUCAGAUAAAAGGCAGCUUUAGGAACUCAUUGAAACUUGUGAAAAAUCAACUUACUUUUCCAAACAACACCUUCCACACUGUGCUGUGUACAAAAGACAAAAUACCCAAUAAUCGAGUUUCCUUUCUAUUCCCCUUUUCUCUGUGGCAAAGAAGUUCAAGAACUCGAGCUCCAACUGCAUAGCCUGCGUCCUCCAGCCUUCGUUCUAAUUCAGAAAUGUUGUCAACUUGUGUCUGGUUGUAUUGAACGAGUUCUGAAAACAAAAAUGCAAACGCACUCAAACUGAC